rnacentral:tRNA from 1 species
UACAAUAUAAUGUAAGAUGCAUAAGGAAUUUUGAAUUCUUUAGUAUUGGUUUAAUUCCAAUGUUUGUAA